rnacentral:rRNA from 1 species
AUGUUAGAUCAGGUCAAGUAUUUCAUUCCGGCUUGGCAGCACGGUCUGAUUCAGAGACCAGGAAGACUAGUGCUAGUUAACAGUGUCAUCACGGCGAGGCCUAUUCACCAUCUGCUCGUCAUGAACGCGCCGAAAUGGGUGUUCGAAGAAGUGGAUAAAUGGAUGAGGGCUUUUUUCUGGGCUGAGAAAGAGAACGUCAACGACAGGCAGUGCUUGGUGGCUUGGCACACCAUUUGCAGACCGACUUGUUUUGGUGGUCUGGGAGUCAAGAACUUAAAGAUCCAAGGCCUGGCCAUGCGUAUCCGGUGGGAAUGGCUAAGAAGGAUAGAGCCCACCCGCCCUUGGCAAGGGUUACACCUCAUGGUGGACAAGGAGGCAAAGGCAGUUUUUGAUAGCAUGGUGCUCAUCAGAGUUGGAGAGGGAAGCAAGGUCUUGUUCUGGACCGAUAGAUGGAUACACGGCUUCGCUGCCAAGGAUAUCACCCCCUGA